CCGGCGGAGGUGCAGCAGCACA
rnacentral:misc_RNA from 1 species